CAGACUCCCAGCUGCUGUGACCAGGUGGGUGAGUGGGGAACACCAUUGUCAUGCCAACUGCAUGCCAAGUUACCCCAGCCAACCAAAACUGGCCCUGUAGUUGUUGGUGUACAACUCCGGUGAACACUGUCACUGUUGUCCAUUAUGAGACAAAAAGAAGCAACUGAAGGUAACAAGGUAAAAGGGAUGGACAGAAAUCCUGUCAGAAGGUGAAGCAGAACUUCUUCAAGGUUUGCUCUGAUAACCAUGGUAUUUAGCUGGUUAGAUGAUUGGUCCAGUUCGGUCUCUAGACAAUUGUGGCCCCAAGUAUGUUGAUGGUGGUUUUAGUCCAUGUCGGUCAACCAGGAGUUCAUCAAAUGUCUUCCUGAAGGUACUGCCUGCUGGCAGAGCAGAUAGAAGGGAAUACCUUGAGGAUCCCUGCAAAUCAACAGGCAAACAUUGUCAUUUCUUCAUUAUCUCUUGGUCAAAAUCUUGGAACUCAUGAAUGGCAUUGUUAGAGUACCUUUAACACAUGGACUGGAGGGCUUCUCACGGAUGGGUCGAAAUUGUGACCAUGCCAGCAAUUAUCCCAAGGAACAAUAAUUAAAAAAACAGAGAAUGGCAUUUCACUGUCAGCCCAAGGUAUUGAU